ACUAAGAAAAAAAGAGAAUUUAAAAAUUAUUUAAAAUAACAUACACAUCAUAAUUCACAUCAUUUAUUUAAAAAUAUAAAUACAUAAAGAAUUCAACAAAAUGUUCAAUUUAUAUCAGAAUUUAAAUAAAAGAGAUGAUGAUCAUAAAGAAUCAGAUGUCACAGGACAUGAUAGAUUUUGGCAGGAACGUCCGAAAACACGUCGAAAACGUCGUGCUAUCAAUCGAAGAACUCAAAGUGCCAUUGAACUCGAUUCUGAGGCUAUAGUCUCUGCUCGAAGUACUUUUAGUACUUUUAGGCGUGGAAGAAGCGCAAAUAUCGAAGACGAAGAUAGUGACGAAGAAAAAAGUUAUCAAUUUACCAAUAAAAUUGACAAUCUAGCCAAAAUAUUAUUUAGUCGUGUAUCUGCUGCUCGAAGUUGUAAAGAUUCUGAUGUUAGAGAACGAUGGUUGCUCGCUAAUAAUACUAAUGCGACUAAUACAAUUUGUAGUCGUUGGUGUCUGCAUCUAAUUUGUUAUUGGUAUCAUUUGAGGAAUCGUUCAUCAACGCAAGAAAUAAUUCAUAAGCGCAAUUAUAAUUUUUCAAAUAAAGCGGAAAACAAUACUGUUGAUUGGAAUGGAAAACAUAAUUAUACAGAAUUGGGUCACGGAUCAUCUAUUUGUGAAAGUGUUGGCGAAUGUAUGGAAAUGGAGAAGAGGUCCAGGGAUCGUGCCUUAUCAAUUUGUCAAACUUAUGUUUGUAGAACAUCACGUUAUAAUUUCGUUAAACAGUUAAAUAAUCUCGGUUCUAGAAUGGACAAACAUUGGUUCAUAGUCAGAGAUACUUCUUUAAAAACCGAUCGAUUGAUUACGUUAGUUCCAUUGACUAAAAACUGUUUAUUGAAUAUAACUCCAAUGACGAAGAAUGUUUUGAAUGAUUUAUUCUUAGCCCUGCAACAUCCAUACAUAUGCCCUAUAUUUGAUAUCGAUUUUCUUGAAUAUGAUAAUAAAAAUUAUGUAAUUGUAGUUCAACCAAUAAGUCAAGGUAGUCUGAAAGAUUUGAUAUAUGGGAUCGAAAGAACAGGUUGGAAUGAAGAUUGGAAUCAAAAAUAUAGUUCUCAUGGUAAAGGACUUCCUUUACCUCAAGUUCAACAAAUGGGACGUCAAAUACUGGAAGCAUUAAUUUUUUUAAAAGAAAGAGGAUUUCCGACUGUAAUCCAUUUGCAUUCAGGAAAUGUGCUCAUUCAAAAUGGUGUCGCACGUCUCGCUGGUCUUGAAAAUACGCUUCUUGGUUUUACCAGUCGAAUACAUCCAUUAAUUUUUUCUCGAAUAUCACAAACUAUUUCAAUUGACAUGACAUGUUUUGGUCACAUGCUAUUUGAAAUGUGCGCUGGUUACGAAUUACCAUCAUUUAAGCCAAAUUCUGUUCAUCUAUCGGAUAUUGAAAUGUCAUCGAGUUAUUCAAAUUCAUAUUUGAUGAAUUAUCUAAUCGUCAUAAGAUUAUCGAGGAAAUUCUUGUUCAUGAUUUAUUCAGAAAUAUUGAUCUUCGUGAAAUGCGAAGUGUUCCCGUUACGUUAUUUCGUCCAAUCUUAACGCCGCCCAUUGUAAACUUUCUCGACAAUAUUAAACGACAAAAUGCUAAUAAGAGGCAAAGAUCGCGUUCUAUAAGCGACAUCUAUUUGACACGCAGAUUUUGAAUUAUACAUUUCGAUAGUAUCGAUAUUGAUAUGACAUCUUUACAUAAACGAUAUUCCAUUUGUAAAAAUUCUUUACUUGACGAAAUCUACAACGAACUUUCGAAUACAACUAUAUAAUUAAUAAAAAUAUUUAUUUUGUUAUUGCUAUUAUUAUAUUCAUAUGUUUCUUUACAAAAA
rnacentral:misc_RNA from 1 species